UGGGGAAUAUUGGGCAAUGGGCGCAAGCCUGACCCAGCAACGCCGCGUGAAGGAAGAAGGCUUUCGGGUUGUAAACUUCUUUUAUGAGGGACGAAACAAAUGACGGUACCUCAUGAAUAAGCCACGGCUAACUACGUGCCAGCAGCCGCGGUAAUACGUAGGUGGCAAGCGUUAUCCGGAUUUACUGGGUGUAAAGGGCGUGUAGGCGGGACUGCAAGUCAGAUGUGAAAUUCCAGGGCUCAACCCUGGACCUGCAUUUGAAACUGUGGUUCUUGAGUGAUGGAGAGGCAGGCGGAAUUCCCUGUGUAGCGGUGAAAUGCGUAGAUAUAGGGAGGAACACCAGUGGCGAAGGCGGCCUGCUGGACAUUAACUGACGCUGAGGCGCGAAAGCGUGGGGAGCAAACA
rnacentral:rRNA from 2 species